CACGUGGGUUUUGACUUCUACAACCAUGGUCUGCACUUCCAUGAGAGAGGCAUCCUGGGACAAGAUGGUCUUCAUGUCUCUUCUAAAAAACCUUCUAUAAGACAUACCGACGAGUUUUAUGUGCGCUUGUCCUGGACAUCCGGAGUUCUGUCUGCGUGGAGCCUAGCAAACUCCACGUGAUUGUUCGUGUUUUCUGUUUGUAACCGCAACUCAAGCAAGUUCUCAGCCUGCACUGCGACCAUCUCGGUGUCACAAAAUGCUGAGACGCAGGAGUCGAGGUAGAUGUCAUCCACCUAGACUUUAAGAAGGCCUUCAAUAUGGUAUCACAUUCUGUUCCAGUAAAUAAACUGACAUGCUGUGAUGUAGAUGAUUACACGGUCAGCUUGGACUUUGUUUAGAAUACUCUCCACCAGAAAUACCCUCCACAAGAAAUCUCCUUUCUGCUCAGGGUAGGGCUGGGGCACAGAGGAAAGGAAAGCAGCAUUCUAGGGUGCUACCUUGGGCUGAGUUGAAUGGUACAGAAGUGAAAAAAGGAUGCUAGAAUGGUGGUACCAUCUUGCAGCCAUGUGAUCAGCUGCCCUGAAAGCUGCAAUGG